rnacentral:lncRNA from 1 species
GUAUGGUCAGGCGAGCAGCAUAAGCCAGGCUCUAUGGAAUGUUGGGUGAGCUGCUUGAGGAACUCCAAGGCCUGUCCCACAGUCUUCCAGCCUCCGACUCUCCGGCCCUCAGCGAGGUCAGCAGUGAGCUACUUUUGGAUCUGUUGGGAUCCCUGAGCCCGUGGUCCAGGGAGACUCUGAACAGGGAGAUCUUUUGUCAUGACAUGGUUGUCUCUUGUUGUGCAAGCAAGAGUCAGGGGACAAAUGACAUUGGCUUUAGCCCCCUGCCAGCAGUACCAGGGCCUCCAGGACGGGAGGGAAGGACCAGGCUGAGGCUGGCAUAUGGGAGAGAGCGUGUGUGCGCUGGCGUUUCACCUGCUAGGGCUGCCUUCUGCUGGGCUGUCCAUCUGGCACCAGCUGGCAUACCAGCUCCGCCCCCACAGCCAACCAGACUCCUUCGGCUGUUGCUAUGACAAUUGGCUGCCAUCUUGGUACUCAGGGCACUACCGUCUCUCUGACUUUUCCUGUGGGGCUCCUGAGGGACAGAAAACAGAUCCUCAAUUUUUCAUAUCAGAGCCAGGCAGUAGUGGCACACACCUUUAAACCCAACACUCAGGAAGCAGAGGCAGGUGGGUCUCUGUGAGUUUGAGGCGAGCCUGAUCUAUAGAGCAAGUUCUGGGACAGCCAGGACUAUUUAAAAAAAAAAAGUCUCAAAAAAAAUUCAUCUCAGUAUCCAGUUUUGGAACAAGGCCAGGCAAACCAAGCAGGAGGGCUGACACUGGAGUCCCAGCACAUGGACGUCUGGCCAGAAGGGCGGUGACUUUGAGGCAGAGAGUAAGGCCCUGGAAGUCCCACUGGUUUUUUUGGUUGGUUUUUGCUUCCCUCCCUCCCAGUGCUGAUUUCCUGUGGACCAGAUUCCAGCACAGUGGAGGGCCAGAGCUCAGGGAACAGACCCAGCAGCACAGCAAGUCUCCAAGGAAAGCUCUAGCAGUCUCCAGGGGCUGAAGGCAGGACUGGGGAAGCGGCUAGCCAGGCUGCAGAAGGCAAAUGCUCCCAGACGGCUGUCCAGCACGCAUCCGCCUUCCUAGCCAAGUUUCCUGGGCUCCUGCCACAGAUCUAAGCCUCAUCCUGACAUCCUGCCCUCUGUGCUCUGGGAUGGCCCAGGGGAGAUGCUUAGCCUUGGCUCCUUGUCUGCUGGUGGAGGGACCAAAAAGAAGACCUGACGUCAUCCUGAGCACCCCCGCCAUGCAGAGUGUGUUCGCAGACUGCCAACGGGCUGGCUCCGGCCAGCAGAAGUGAACAGAGGUGGAGGUUCAGCCUGACAGCUUCUCCCCAAAGCCAUGGAGAGAAAACCUUACCACCCCCACCGCCCAGCUACUUCCAGCAAGUUGUCCAGCCUGACCCCUCUAUUUCCCCUGUUGUCUCUUAUCUGGGUCCCUGAGACCCACCCCAUCUCCAAUAAAGAACAUUGCAUACUGUGCAUCAGUGUUGCCUUGGGUGUGCCAGGCAGGGUCGGGGGCGUGCUGGGUUCUCCAUACUAGAACACCACUACUGAACAACAUAGUCACACCAGGCAGGGCUCCCUAAAGCCUACCUGCAUGGCCAGCGUGGUCCGAGGACAGUGUGCUCUCCCCACCCUGUCUGCUAGCCUCCAGCUUCAUGGGAACUCCAUUAAUCAUGGGAUUCCGAGAUCAUCAGAGCAAUAGGAUCACUCCGUCUCCAGGGGAGCACAAGGCAAGAGCCAG